GACGUCGAAAUUCGACGUCAUAAACACGAUCAACUUUGGUGUUUAUGACGUCUAUAUUCGACGUCAUAAACACGAUCAACUUUGGUGUUUAUGACGUCGAUAUUCGACGUCAUAAACACGAUCAACUUUGGUGUUUAUGACGUCAAAUAUCCACGUCAUAAACACGAUCAAAUUUGGUGUUUAUGACGUCGAUAUAAGACGUCAUAAACACGAUCAACUUUGGUGUUUAUGGCGUCGAUAUUCGACGUC